rnacentral:sRNA from 1 species
CAUUGCUGAAUUUAACAUUCGAAAUCCUUUCACACCCGUGCACUUUGGCGCGCGCGAGACGCUCUCCGCGCGCGUUUCGAACACACCGACGCCUGUCGUACGCAUGCGAUUGAGAAAUUAUUGUAUAUAUAAACAUAACUUUCAACAACGGAUCUCUUGGCUUUCGCAUCGAUGAAGAACGCCGCGAAAGCGCGAAACGUAAUGUGAAUUGCAGAAUUCAGUGAAUCAUCGAAUCUUUGAACGCAUCUUGCGCCCCUUGGUAUUCCGAGGGGCAUGCCUGUUUGAGUGUCGUGAAGUACCCUCGAACCCGUGUCUUGACGCGGGUUCGGAUUUGGACGCCUGCCGCGAAGCGCCUCGUUCGCGGCUCGUCUCUAAACGCAUUAGCGAACGCGCCUUUCGCUCUUCAGACGUGAUUAAGCGCCCCACGCGGGUUAAAACGUCGACGGAGCGCGACCGCGCGUCGCUCACGAACCGUCCGCGAGGACAAUUUGACACCCAAAUCUGACCUCAAAUCAGGCAGGACUACCCGCUGAACUUAAGCAUAU